UGGCUGGUUCGCCUUAGGCACACGACACACGAGCGGAAACGAGUUAUCUGAGCCUUCGGGGGGAGAUAACGGCGUCGAGCGGCGGACGGGUGAGUAAUGCCUGGGAAAUUGCCCUGAUGUGGGGGAUAACCAUUGGAAACGAUGGCUAAUACCGCAUAAUAGCUUCGGCUCAAAGAGGGGGACCUUCGGGCCUCUCGCGUCAGGAUAUGCCCAGGUGGGAUUAGCUAGUUGGUGAGGUAAUGGCUCACCAAGGCGACGAUCCCUAGCUGGUCUGAGAGGAUGAUCAGCCACACUGGAACUGAGACACGGUCCAGACUCCUACGGGAGGCAGCAGUGGGGAAUAUUGCACAAUGGGCGCAAGCCUGAUGCAGCCAUGCCGCGUGUAUGAAGAAGGCCUUCGGGUUGUAAAGUACUUUUCAGCAGUGAGGAAGGUGGUGUCGUUAAUAGCGGCAUCAUUUGACGUUAGCUGCAGAAGAAGCACCGGCUAACUCCGUGCCAGCAGCCGCGGUAAUACGGGAGGGUGCGAGCGUUAAAUCGGAAUUAACUGGGCGAAAAGCGCAUGCGGGUGGUUUUGUUAAGUCAGAUGUGAAAGCCCGGGGCUCACCCUCGGAAUUGCAUUUGAAACUGGCAGACUAGAGUACUGUAGAGGGGGGUAGAAAUUUCAGGUGUAGCGGUGAAAUGCGUAGAGAUCUGAAGGAAUACCGGGUGGCGAAGGCGGCCCCCUGAACAGAUACUGACACUCAGAUGCGAACGCGUGGGGGAGCAAACAGGAUUAGAUACCCUGGUAGUCCAACGCCGUAAAACGAUGUCUACUUGGAGGUUUGUGGCCUUGAGCCGUGCUUUCGGAGCUAACGCGUUAAGUAGACCGCCUGGGGAGUACGGUCGCAGGAUUAAAACUUAAAUGUAUUGACGGGGGCCGCACAAGCGAGGAGCAUGAUGUUUUAUUUCGAUGCACCGCGAAGACUUUACCUACUCGUGACAUCCUCAGAAGAGACUGGAGACUGUCUUGUGCAAUCGGAAACUAGACAGACAGUAGCUGACAUGACUUGUCGUCAGCUUCGUAUAGUACAUAUAGAUAGGGAGUCUCAGUACGAGCCGCAACCCAUGAUCUUCUGCCAGCGACUAUGUCGUAUUCAGUGAACUGCCGUCGUGUUAGAAUCUGGAACAGGUGUUCGCUACGAC
rnacentral:rRNA from 1 species